rnacentral:lncRNA from 1 species
GAAAGGGACACCGGAGGGGGGACCCACAAAUCACUGAGGACGUCCCUCCUUCGGCCCUGGCUGUCCGGGUUUCCCGCUCGAUGAGAAAGGGGCAGUGACAGCAACACGGGGGCUCUUUCUUUAGGGCCGGCUCUGGGAAGAGAAUCCAAGCCGGGAGUGGGCAGGGAAAAAGGAGACCACUGAGUGAGACAGCAGCAAAGCUUCUCAUUGGCCCCUGUGCACUGCGAUAAUUUUCCUCAGGAACUCCCCGUA